rnacentral:rRNA from 1 species
AUUGAACGCUGGCGGCAGGCCUAACACAUGCAAGUCGAACGAGUGGCGGACGGGUGAGUAAUGUCUGGGAAAAUGCCUGAUGGAGGGGGAUAACUACUGGAAACGGUAGCUAAUACCGCAUACCAUCAGAUGUGCCCACAUGGGAUAAGCUCGUUGGUGGGGUAACGGCUCACCAAGGCGACGAUCCCUUGCUGGUCUGAGAGGAUGACCGGCCACACUGGAACUCAGACCCGGUCCUGACUCCUACGGUAGGCAGCAGUGGGGAAUAUUGCACAAUUGGCUCAAUCCGGAUGCAGCCAUGCCGCGUGUAUGAAGAAGUCCUUCGGGUUGUAAAGUACUUUCAGCGGGGAGGCGUUACCCGCAGAAGAAGCACCGGCUAACUCCGUGCCAGCAGCCGCGGUAAUUC